UACGGGGGGGGCAAGCGUUGUUCGGAAUUACUGGGCGUAAAGGGCUCGUAGGUGGCCAACUAAGUCAGACGUGAAAUCCCUCAGCUUAACUGGGGAACUGCGUCUGAUACUGGAUGGCUUGAGUUUGGGAGAGGGAUGCGGAAUUCCAGGUGUAGCGGUGAAAUGCGCAGAUAUCUGGAGGAACACCGGUGGCGAAGGCGGGUCUCUGGGCCGAAACUGACGCUGAGGCGCGAAAGCCAGGGGAGCAAACGGG
rnacentral:rRNA from 1 species